AUCCAGCUGACGAGUCUCAAACAAAACGUAAUGCGCGUCCUGAAU
rfam:Schistosoma mattheei strain Denwood, Zambia genome assembly, scaffold: SMTD_scaffold0001440